rnacentral:rRNA from 1 species
AUUGAACGCUGGCGGCAGGCCUAACACAUGCAAGUCGAACGAGUGGCGGACGGGUGCGUAAUGUCUGGGAAACUGCCCGAUGGAGGGGGAUAACUACUGGAAACGGUAGCUAAUACCGCAUACCAUCGGAUGUGCCCAGAUGGGAUUAGCUAGUAGGUGGGGUAACGGCUAACCUAGGCGACGAUCCCUAGCUGGUCUGAGAGGAUGACCAGCCAAACUGGAACUGAGACACGGGCCAGACGCCUACGGGAGGCAGCAGUGGGGAAUAUUGGACAAUGGGCGCAAGCCUGAGGCAGACAUGCCGCGUGUAUGAAGAAGGCCGUCGGGUUGUAAAGUACUGUCAGCGAGGAGGCGUUACUCGCAGAAGAAGCACCGGCUAACUCCGUGCCAGCAGCCGCGGUAAUAC